UAGCAAUAUGUGGCAUACGGCUCAGUAACACGUAGUCAACAUGCCCAGGGGACGUGGAUAACCUCGGGAAACUGAGGAUAAACCGCGAUAGGUCAUCACUUCUGGAAUGGGUAAUGACUUAAAUCUAUAUGGCCCCUGGAUUGGACUGCGGCCGAUCAGGCUGUUGGUGAGGUAAUGGCCCACCAAACCUGUAACCGGUACGGGCUCUGAGAGGAGGAGCCCGGAGAUGGGCACUGAGACAAGGGCCCAGGCCCUAUGGGGCGCAGCAGGCGCGAAACCUCUGCAAUAGGCGAAAGCUUGACAGGGUUACUCUGAGUGAUUUCCGUUAAGGAGAUCUUUUGGCACCUCUAAAAAUGGUGCAGAAUAAGGGGUGGGCAAGUCUGGUGUCAGCCGCCGCGGUAAUACCAGCACCCCGAGUGGUCGGGACGUUUAUUGGGCCUAAAGCAUCCGUAGCCGGUUCUACAAGUCUUCCGUUAAAUCCACCUGCUUAACAGAUGGGCUGCGGAAGAUACUAUAGAGCUAGGAGGCGGGAGAGGCAAGCGGUACUCGAUGGGUAGGGGUAAAAUCCGUUGAUCCAUUGAAGACCACCAGUGGCGAAGGCGGCUUGCCAGAACGCGCUCGACGGUGAGGGAUGAAAGCUGGGGGAGCAAACCGGAUUAGAUACCCGGGUAGUCCCAGCUGUAAACGAUGCA
rnacentral:rRNA from 1 species